UUCAGGUGAUUGUCUAACCCUAGUACAGGUGUGCCAAUCAGAAGGAAUAAUGACUGCACCUGAGCUUCCCUUCUUCAUGCAGAUCUGUUUGUCCUGGAGGAUAGCAUCUUAGCAACAGCAGGAAAACCCCAUGCAUUUCCAGCAGCAAAGUUGAAACUGAGCAUCAAUUCAGAAGAUGCAACUUUAUGGAAUUCUCCAGCGCAGAUCACCAUGUCAAGAAACAACUUCAGAGACAUAUGCCAUUGACUUCUACAGGACCUCGACAGCUUUGAGAUGAGUAUUUUUGGAUUUGAAUUUUUAGCAGCUUCAGGGUAUAAUAAAUCUCAAGGUUUAAUAAAUGAGCUCCUUAGUGUACAUUUUUUAAUCCCGUGUUCACAUAGUGAUCCUCCCUGCCAUCAAAGUCAAUCAGAUCACAAGAUGAAUAAUUGAAGUCCAGUUAUGCAAAAACUUUAUAUUUCAUUCACGUCGGGUGUAGUAAUCCCAAUCGAUGCGAUAUAUACACCUCCUAGUGAGAGGAGCCCUUAAAUUGAGGUUACUGCCUGCCCUUCUUUAAAAAAGAGUCUCUAGAACAGUCCAAAGAAUAGUGAUUUACCAUCACUGAUCCAUUUGAAAAGUAAUCUGUAUCUUAUGUAAAACUCUUUGGCUAAAUCUUGAGCCGAGGUACUAGUCUCCUGUAGGCUGCCACAUAGGGGCUAUUAAAUAGCCAAUCACAGCCUUCAUUUGGCACCCCUGGGACAUUUUUUAUGCUUUUGUUGCGUGAAGAAAAAGGAAGAUGCAAGAGGUUCGCUCUGUGAUGCUCAAUGGCCCUGGGUUUCAGGUAAGUCAAUACGAUCACUUGGUGCACAAAGCCUUUCCUUCUCCUUUAACAAUAUUGUGCUUCUCUAAGCUUGGCCAGUUUUUGUUCAUGCAUAUUUCCGAUGUGAUUGCAUAAUGUUUGAUGUGCUAAAUAAAGUAAAAAGAAGUCAUUUUAAACAUAGUGGAUAUUGAAGCCUGGCAAAUGCCAAAAGCUGUGAGAUUUAUAUAGUGUAUCGGAGCCAGACAGCCCCAUUCUCACUAAUUCUUAAACUGUUCUAGAACUUGUGCUAAAUCAUCAUCCUUCAAUGUUGAAGUUGGGUGUGAGUUUACAAAUUUUUGGGGACUCUCUUGUUUACGUUUUCAUUUGGUUUCUGCUAAUUGAUAUCCCCUUUCUGGCGCUGCGUCAAGAUCCCCAGCCACAGCGAACGUUCAUAAACUGAAGAAAUGGACUUGUGGUUUCAAAAUGUCGGAGCGAAUGUUUCUAACAUUGCACAAUUGCACAAGCCUUUCUGCUAGAUGGAAUAAACAGCCCCGCGAAUGAGCUUUUGCCAGUCUGGCAGGAACAUUUAUUGUUUCUCUCUUUCCAAAGCCAGAGAUUUAUUUUAUCUUUAAAUCCCAUACAUUUAUUGCAGUAUUACUUCAUGUGCUAAACACUCUACCAGUUCCAAGUUCACAGGGUUUUUUCCUUUUUUUUUUUAAUACAAUUUUAUCAAUCUCUUCUUUCCUGGACAUCAUUUGUUCUGCACUUCGCCUAUUAAAGAGAGGGGCUGAAAAACGGUGAGUGUGAUUUUUCCAAAUCUAAAUGGAAGAAAACAAUAUCCGGGAAAUAAAGGUACAGUACCUAAUAGGAGGACAGGGUUUGCCUCAUUUUCUCUGUUACCUUCUAUAUUAAAAAUGCUGGCAUAUUGGGGGGGGGGGGAGGAAGGCUGUUCCAAUACCCUAGACUAGGCCUACUUGGUGUGACUCUACUUUUUAUUACUCCUCUUUCUAUUCAGGGCCUCUCCUUUUCCUAUUCCAAUCUAUUCAAAUUCAAUGCAUGGUU